UGGGGAAUUUUGGACAAUGGGCGAAAGCCUGAUCCAGCAAUGCCGCGUGAGUGAAGAAGGCCUUCGGGUUGUAAAGCUCUUUUGUCAGGGAAGAAACGGUGAAAGCUAAUAUCUUUUGCUAAUGACGGUACCUGAAGAAUAAGCACCGGCUAGCUACGUGCCAGCAGCCGCGGUAACACGUAGGGUGCAAGCGUUAAUCGGAAUUACUGGGCGUAAAGCGUGCGCAGGCGGUUUUGUAAGUCUGAUGUGAAAUCCCCGGGCUCAACCUGGGAAUUGCAUUGGAGACUGCGAGGCUAGAAUCUGGCAGAGGGGGGUAGAAUUCCACGUGUAGCAGUGAAAUGCGUAGAUAUGUGGAGGAACACCGAUGGCGAAGGCAGCCCCCUGGGUCAAGAUUGACGCUCAUGCACGAAAGCGUGGGGAGCAAACAGGAUUAGAUACCCUGGUAGUCCACGCCCUAAACGAUGUCUACUAGUUGUCGGGUCUUAAUUGACUUGGUAAACGCAGCUAACGCGUGAAGUAGACCGCCUGGGGAGUACGUCGCAAGAUUAAAACUCAAAGGAAUUG
rnacentral:rRNA from 1 species